CAUAGAGUGACAGUUUUACCUCUUCUCUUCCAAUUUGGAUACAAUUUCUUUCUUUUGUUUGUCUCACUGUUACGGCUAGGACUUCCAAUACUAGGUUAAAUUAAAGUGGUGAGAGUGGGCAUCUUGACCUUAUUCCAGAAUUUAGUGGGAAGGCUUAUCAGCUUUUCUCCAUAGAGUAUUAUAUUGGCUGUGCGUUUGUCAUAAACGGCUUUAUUUUGUUGAGAUAUGUUCCCUCUAUACCCACUUUUUAUCAUGAAUGGAUGUCGGAUUUUGUCACAUGCCUUUUCUGCAUCUAUUGAGAUGUUCAUGUGGUUUUGACUUUUCUUCUGUUAAUGUGGUGUAUAAUGCUGAUUGAUUUGUGUAUGUUGAACCAUCCUUGUGAACUUGGGAUGAAUCCCACUUGGUUGUGAUAUAUAUUUUUUAUGUGUUGUUGGAUUCAGUUGGCUAAACUUCUGUUGAGAAUUUUUGCAUCUAUAUUCAUCAAAGAUAAUUAGCCUAUAAUUUUCUUUUUUGGUAGUAUCUUUGUCUGAUUUUGGUUUUAGAGUGACAGCGGCUUCAUAGAAUGUCUUUGGGAGUAUUCCUUUUUCUUCAAACUUUUGGAAAAGUUUAAGAAGGACCCAAGCCACUGCAGUAGGAUUCCUAAACCACUGCACCACAGCAGAAACUCCUACUCUAGGUCUUUUGAUUGGGGUAUUUAGUCCAUUGACAUUUAAAGUAAUUAUUGAUAAGUAUGUAUUUAUUUCCAUUUUAAAACUUUUUUUCCAGUUGACUUGGUAUUUCCUCUUUGUUCCUUUGUUCUUUGUGUUUUUCCUUUAGUGGCUUGUUGGUUCUCUUUUGCGUUAUGUUUGAGUUUGUUUUUGGUUUUUGUGAUGGUUUGCAAGCAUGUCAACCCAUAACCAUUUCUACUUGUUUUAGACUGAUAGUCAUAGGGGGGUUCAAACACAUUCUAUAAGAUCUAUAUUUUUUACUCCCCUCCCCAACAUUUUGUGAUUUCCAUGUCCUAUUUUGCAUCUUCAUGUUUAUCCUUUUGCUCUUAAUUGUAGUUAUGACUGCUUUUACAAAUUUUUUGAUUGUUUUUAAAUCUAGGUACUGGCUUACUUAAGUGAUCUUCAGUACUUUCAAAUAUUUGCCUUUCCCUUGAUGCUUUUCUAUUUCAAUAAGAUCUUUCACUAUUUCUUUUAGGUUAGGUUUAGUAUUGCUCUAUUCUUUUAGUUUUUGCUUGUCUGAGAAAUGCUUAGUUUAUCUAUUCUAAAUGAUAAUCUUGCUAGGUUGCAGAUUUUCCCCCUUUCAGGACUUUGAACGUAUCAUGCCACUCCCUUCUGGCCUGCAAUGCUUCUGUAGAGAAAUCAGCUGAUAACCUCGUGGGGGUUCCCUUGUCACUGACUUUGGUUUUUAUCUUGCUGCCUUUAGAAUCCUCUCUUUACCUUUUCCCAUUUUAAUUAUGAUAUGUCUUCAUUUGUCUUCAUCUUAUUUGGGACCCUCUGUACUCCCUGUAUCUGGAUACCCGUUUCCUUCUUUAGGUUUGGGGAGUUUUCAGCCAUAAUUUCUUCAAAAAUACGUUCAGUCCUUUUUUCUCUUUCUUCUUCUGGAACCCCAAUUAUGCAUAGGUUGGCCUGCUUUAUAUUAUCCCAUAGAGAUCGAUGUUGCUUUCCUGUCUCUCAUUUAAUCUGCUGUUCUGAUUGGGUGAUUUCCAUCAUUCUAUUGUCCAGAUGACUUAUUUGUUCUUCUGCAUUAUUUAGUUUGCUAUUCAUUGCCUUAAGCUCAGUUUUUACCUAGGCAAUUGAGUUGUCUAAUUUUGAUGGGUUCUUCUUUACAGUUUCUAGUUCCUUGUUACAGUGAUCUGCAUUUCUAUUGAUAGUCUUCUCAAUUCCUUUAGCGUUUUUAUUACCUCCUUUUUGAACUUGGGUUCUGGUAGAGUGAAGAAGUGCUUCAUUGUUCUUUCAGAGGAUUUCUCUGUUCUUUUCAUUGGGAGUAGAUCCUCUGCUUUGUUAUUUUAUUAAUUGGGAGUAGAUUCUCUGCUUUUUAUUGAAAGUCUGUUUUGUGAAUUUAGGAGAAAGCUAUCUAUUGUGGUCUUGAAAGGCUGUUUUUAUUGAGUGACCCUGUGUAGACUGAGUCCAGUAUUUUGGGUGUGAGGGCUGUUCUUGGUAUGCAAACCUGCUCCAUCUUUCCUCAGGGUGUGCUCCAUUGCCCUUUGAUAGUGAGUGUGUUUGGUGGUGUGGUGACCAGACUGAGUACUGAAUAUUGGGUGGGGCCUCCUCUUUGCUCUGUGGUUGUCAGAGCCCAGUUGGGGACAGGAUAUGCUCCCGAGAUGUUGGAGUAGAAGCCACUCUCUCCAGCUCUAAGAUGCAGUGUGAUAUAGGCAGGACUUGAGCACUGCCACUGGGGAAGAAACCCCUGUGUAUGCCUCCCCAGGAGUGUCCACAGGAGAUGUGGAAUUCUGUGAUGCCUUCUGCCGCCCUGUGUGUGCACCAACUGAGUCUGCUGCUGCAGGACCUGCCCUUGAACCUGUCCCAGCCCAAGGGAGCGCUGACAAUGGGCUCAGAUGUUAGCCCCACCCCUGCAGGGUAUGUACUUACAAAGCCAUACCCUGCCGUGAGCAUGCCAACAGCAGGGAUCCAAUGGCAGACUCACAACUGGUCAUAUGCACUGAUUAUGUGGCUGCUAUGGAGGACCUGCACCCUGACUUGGGUGCAUUAACAAUGGCAUCCCACAUUUGGCGCAGCGGAAAUGAAUCUAACCAGCAUCCAUGAGGACACAGGUUCGAUUCCUGACCUCGCUCAGUAGGUUAAGGAUCCGGCAUUGCCAUGAGCUGUGGUAUAGGUCACAGAUACAGCUCGGAUCAGGCAUUGCUGUGGCUGUAGUGUAGGCCGGUAGCUGUAGCUCCGAUUAGACCCCUAGCCUGGGAACUCCAUUAAAAAAAAAAAAAAUGGCAUCCCAGACCACACUUCAGGCCCUUUGGGUUGUUUUUGUGUAGCUAAAUCGAGUCUUCUCCCUGGGUCUGUUGGCUAAAGCCUCAACCCCUGCGCGUAGUAGCAGGUGCGUGUUUCGGGGCAAGAAGCGUGGUGACAUGGCAGCUGUCAGUGCUGGCCUCUCUCUGUCCUACCUGGCAGCAAGCCAGCACAUGCGCACUCCUCUCCAGCAACGUCCAGGCCGCUCCAGCUCUCCAUCUGCCCCCGUGAGCCUCCCAACAGCAAAGGGAGUUCCCAGGGCAAGGGACUCUUUCCUCGUUCACAGCCCCAUCCCAGGGGUGCAGGUCCCACCCCAUUAUGCGAGUUCCCACUGUGGCUCAGUGGUUUAAGAACCUGACGCAGUAUCCACGAGGCUUCGAUCUCUGGCCUCCCUCAGUGGUUUAAGGAUCCAGCAUUGCUGCGUGCUGCAGCAGAGGUCACAGAUGUGGCUCAGAUCCCGCGUGGUGUACGCCGGCAGCUGCAGCUCCCAUUUGACCGCUGGCCCAGGAACUUCCAUGUGC
rnacentral:lncRNA from 1 species